rnacentral:rRNA from 1 species
GGAGGAAUAUUGGUCAAUGGGGGAAACCCUGAACCAGCAACGCCGCGUGAAGGAAGAAGGACCUCGGGUUGUACACUUCUGUUUUCAGGGAAGAAAGAAAUGACGGUACCUGAAGAGAAAGCUCCGGCAAACUACGUGCCAGCAGCCGCGGUAAUACGUAGGGAGCGAGCGUUGUCCGGAAUCACUGGGCGUAAAGGGCGCGUAGGCGGUUUUACAAGUUGCAUGUGAAAUACCAUGGCUCAACCAUGGGGUGUCAUGCAAAACGGUAGGGCUUGAGUGCAGUAGAGGAAAGCGGAAUUCCUGGUGUAGCGGUAAAAUUCGUAGAGAUCAGUAGUAACACCGGUGGCGAAGGCGGCUUUCUGGGCUGUAACUGACGCUGAGCCGCGAAAGCGUGGGGAGCGAACA